rnacentral:rRNA from 1 species
GACGUAGGGCGCGAGCGUUGUCCGGAUUUAUUGGGCGUAAAGAGCUCGUAGGCGGCUCGUUGCGUCGGCUGUGAAAACCCGCAGCUCAACUGUGGGCUUGCAGCUGAUACGGGCGGGCUGGAGUUCGGUAGGGGAGACUGGAAUUCCUGGUGUAGCGGUGGAAUGCGCAGAUAUCAGGAGGAACAUCGGUGGCGAAGGCGGGUCUCUGGGCAGUAACUGACGCUGAGGAGCGAAAGCGUGGGGAGCGAACAGG